rnacentral:rRNA from 1 species
CCUACGGGAGGCAGCAGUGAGGAAUAUUGGUCAAUGGACGAGAGUCUGAACCAGCCAAGUAGCGUGAAGGAUGACUGCCCUAUGGGUUGUAAACUUCUUUUAUAAAGGAAUAAAACGAGGCACGUGUGCCUUUUUGCAUGUACUUUAUGAAUAAGGAUCGGCUAACUCCGUGCCAGCAGCCGCGGUAAUACGGAGGAUCCGAGCGUUAUCCGGAUUUAUUUGGUUUAAAGGGAGCGUAGAUGGGGUGUUAAGUCAGAUGUGAAAGUUUGCGGCUCAACCGUAAAAUUGCAAUUGAUACUGGCAGUCUUGAGUACAGUUGAGGUAGGCGGAAUUCGUGGUGUAGCGGUGAAAUGCUGAGAUAUCACGAAGAACCCCGAUUGCGAAGGCAGCUUACUAAACUGUGACUGACAUUGAUGCUCGAAAGUGUGGGUAUCAAACAGGAGUAGAUACCCUGGUAGUC